rnacentral:rRNA from 1 species
CCUACGGGUGGCAGCAGUGAGGAAUAUUGGUCAAUGGCCGCAAGCCUGAACCAGCCAAGUAGCGUGAGGGAUGACUGCCCUACGGGUUGUAAACCUCUUUUAUGCAGGGAUAAAGUGAUCCACGUGUGCCUGUUUGUAGGUACUGUAUGAAUAAGGAUCGGCUAACUCCGUGCCAGCAGCCGCGGUAAUACGGAGGGUCCGGGCGUUAUCCGGAUUUAUUGGGUUUAAAGGGAGCGUAGAUGGGUUUUUAAGUCAGCCGUGAAAGUUUGUGGCUCAACCGUAAAAGUGCAACUGAUACUGGCAGCCUUGAGUACAGGUAAGGCAGGCGGAAUUCGUGGUGUAGUGGUGAAAUGCUUAGAUAUCACGAAGAACCCCGAUUGCGAAGGCAGCCUACCAAAGCGCUACUGACAUUGAUGCUCGAAAGUGCGGGUAUCAAACAGGAUUAGAUACCCGAGUAGUC